rnacentral:sRNA from 1 species
UAUUUUAUGGAAACUUUGCAAAACUAUAAUAUGUGGGGUCAAAUUGUAAAUUAGAUAAAUAAAAUGUAUUAGUAUAUAAAAUAGAAAUAGAAUAUUUUUUAAGAAUAUUCUUUUUAGAGUAGAAAAUAGAGGGAUAAAUUGUAGAGAGUAACUCUAUUUUCGAGUAAGAUAUAGAGCUAUACAUUGGAGAUGGUCUAAUAAAACUCAUAUCUUGGAGGCAUCAGCUGUGAUACGACGGUUGAGGGCAACGGCAGCCUUCGAACCAUUGGGACGACCGAGAUGCUUGCUGAUGAAAUCUCCAGCAGCUAUAAGCUUUCCCAAGUCGACAUUGGUGUGGACGCCUAAACCGUUCAACAUGUAAACCACAUCUUCUGUGGCUACAUUUCCUGAAGCUCCUUUUGCAUAUGGGCAGCCGCCUAAUCCGGCAAUUGAUGAGUCUACUAUGCUUAUUCCCAUC